rnacentral:siRNA from 1 species
AUUGAUUAAAUCAGUACCAGAUGC